GGCUCUAGCCCUAGCAGGCCAAAUGCACUUGGAAGCAGGGCUGGGCCUGGUUAAUGCUUGGCUAGGAGACUUCCUGGCAAUACUAGGUGCUGUAGGCU
rnacentral:rRNA from 1 species